AGUGGAGCGACGAACCGGGCUUCGGCCCUGGGCAAAGCCGCGAACGGGUGAGUAACAGGUGGGUAACGUGCCCUGUUGAUUGGGACAACCCCGGGAAACGGGGGCUAAUACCACUAUGUGCUCCUUCCACAUCAGUGGUUGGAGGAAAGGAGGCUUCGGCUUCCGCAACGGGAUGGGCCCGCCGCCCAUUAGCUUGUUGGUGGGGUAAUGGCCUACCAAGGCUGGGAAAGGUAGCUGGUCUGAGAGGACGAUCAGCCACACUGGGAUUUUUUCUCUGGCCCAGAGACAUACGGANNCACCUCCUCCAUCUAGGUU
rnacentral:sRNA from 1 species